rnacentral:rRNA from 1 species
UUAAGCGACUAAGCGUACACGGUGGAUGCCCUGGCAGUCAGAGGCGAUGAAGGACGUGCUAAUCUGCGAUAAGCGUCGGUAAGGUGAUAUGAACCGUUAUAACCGGCGAUUUCCGAAUGGGGAAACCCAGUGUGUUUCGACACACUAUCAUUAACUGAAUCCAUAGGUUAAUGAGGCGAACCGGGGGAACUGAAACAUCUAAGUACCCCGAGGAAAAGAAAUCAACCGAGAUUCCCCCAGUAGCGGCGAGCGAACGGGGAGCAGCCCAGAGCCUGAAUCAGUGUGUGUGUUAGUGGAAGCGUCUGGAAAGGCGCGCGAUACAGGGUGACAGCCCCGUACACAAAAAUGCACAUACUGUGAGCUCGAUGAGUAGGGCGGGACACGUGGUAUCCUGUCUGAAUAUGGGGGGACCAUCCUCCAAGGCUAAAUACUCCUGACUGACCGAUAGUGAACCAGUACCGUGAGGGAAAGGCGAAAAGAACCCCGGCGAGGGGAGUGAAAAAGAACCUGAAACCGUGUACGUACAAGCAGUGGGAGCCUCUUUUAUGGGGUGACUGCGUACCUUUUGUAUAAUGGGUCAGCGACUUAUAUUCUGUAGCAAGGUUAACCGAAUAGGGGAGCCGAAGGGAAACCGAGUCUUAACUGGGCGUUAAGUUGCAGGGUAUAGACCCGAAACCCGGUGAUCUAGCCAUGGGCAGGUUGAAGGUUGGGUAACACUAACUGGAGGACCGAACCGACUAAUGUUGAAAAAUUAGCGGAUGACUUGUGGCUGGGGGUGAAAGGCCAAUCAAACCGGGAGAUAGCUGGUUCUCCCCGAAAGCUAUUUAGGUAGCGCCUCGUGAAUUCAUCUCCGGGGGUAGAGCACUGUUUCGGCAAGGGGGUCAUCCCGACUUACCAACCCGAUGCAAACUGCGAAUACCGGAGAAUGUUAUCACGGGAGACACACGGCGGGUGCUAACGUCCGUCGUGAAGAGGGAAACAACCCAGACCGCCAGCUAAGGUCCCAAAGUCAUGGUUAAGUGGGAAACGAUGUGGGAAGGCCCAGACAGCCAGGAUGUUGGCUUAGAAGCAGCCAUCAUUUAAAGAAAGCGUAAUAGCUCACUGGUCGAGUCGGCCUGCGCGGAAGAUGUAACGGGGCUAAACCAUGCACCGAAGCUGCGGCAGCGACGCUUAUGCGUUGUUGGGUAGGGGAGCGUUCUGUAAGCCUGCGAAGGUGUGCUGUGAGGCAUGCUGGAGGUAUCAGAAGUGCGAAUGCUGACAUAAGUAACGAUAAAGCGGGUGAAAAGCCCGCUCGCCGGAAGACCAAGGGUUCCUGUCCAACGUUAAUCGGGGCAGGGUGAGUCGACCCCUAAGGCGAGGCCGAAAGGCGUAGUCGAUGGGAAACAGGUUAAUAUUCCUGUACUUGGUGUUACUGCGAAGGGGGGACGGAGAAGGCUAUGUUGGCCGGGCGACGGUUGUCCCGGUUUAAGCGUGUAGGCUGGUUUUCCAGGCAAAUCCGGAAAAUCAAGGCUGAGGCGUGAUGACGAGGCACUACGGUGCUGAAGCAACAAAUGCCCUGCUUCCAGGAAAAGCCUCUAAGCAUCAGGUAACAUCAAAUCGUACCCCAAACCGACACAGGUGGUCAGGUAGAGAAUACCAAGGCGCUUGAGAGAACUCGGGUGAAGGAACUAGGCAAAAUGGUGCCGUAACUUCGGGAGAAGGCACGCUGAUAUGUAGGUGAAGCGACUUGCUCGUGGAGCUGAAAUCAGUCGAAGAUACCAGCUGGCUGCAACUGUUUAUUAAAAACACAGCACUGUGCAAACACGAAAGUGGACGUAUACGGUGUGACGCCUGCCCGGUGCCGGAAGGUUAAUUGAUGGGGUUAGCGGUAACGCGAAGCUCUUGAUCGAAGCCCCGGUAAACGGCGGCCGUAACUAUAACGGUCCUAAGGUAGCGAAAUUCCUUGUCGGGUAAGUUCCGACCUGCACGAAUGGCGUAAUGAUGGCCAGGCUGUCUCCACCCGAGACUCAGUGAAAUUGAACUCGCUGUGAAGAUGCAGUGUACCCGCGGCAAGACGGAAAGACCCCGUGAACCUUUACUAUAGCUUGACACUGAACAUUGAGCCUUGAUGUGUAGGAUAGGUGGGAGGCUUUGAAGUGUGGACGCCAGUCUGCAUGGAGCCGGCCUUGAAAUACCACCCUUUAAUGUUUGAUGUUCUAACGUUGGCCCCUGAUCGGGGUUGCGGACAGUGUCUGGUGGGUAGUUUGACUGGGGCGGUCUCCUCCUAAAGAGUAACGGAGGAGCACGAAGGUUGGCUAAUCCUGGUCGGACAUCAGGAGGUUAGUGCAAUGGCAUAAGCCAGCUUGACUGCGAGCGUGACGGCGCGAGCAGGUGCGAAAGCAGGUCAUAGUGAUCCGGUGGUUCUGAAUGGAAGGGCCAUCGCUCAACGGAUAAAAGGUACUCCGGGGAUAACAGGCUGAUACCGCCCAAGAGUUCAUAUCGACGGCGGUGUUUGGCACCUCGAUGUCGGCUCAUCACAUCCUGGGGCUGAAGUAGGUCCCAAGGGUAUGGCUGUUCGCCAUUUAAAGUGGUACGCGAGCUGGGUUUAGAACGUCGUGAGACAGUUCGGUCCCUAUCUGCCGUGGGCGCUGGAGAACUGAGGGGGGCUGCUCCUAGUACGAGAGGACCGGAGUGGACGCAUCACUGGUGUUCGGGUUGUCAUGCCAAUGGCACUGCCCGGUAGCUAAAUGCGGAAGAGAUAAGUGCUGAAAGCAUCUAAGCACGAAACUUGCCCCGAGAUGAGUUCUCCC